CCUUGUAUCCUGAGGGGUGUAAUGAUGUGUGAUGAAGGAAUAGGUGAAGAGUGUAGGCCAGUUUACAACCAUAUCCAAACCAACCAUAUUGCCAAGCUUAUCACAAAUCGUUUGCAAAUAGUUUAGAUAUUUAAGGUUGUAUAUUUGUUGAAAAAGCCUGUAUUAAUAUCCAAAUGUAUGCUCUUGUAAUUAAUUUUAUUAUCAGUAUUCAUGAGUAGUUUAUUAAGUUUUGUAUUUUUCU
rnacentral:lncRNA from 1 species